UCUGCCUCAGCCUCCUGAGUUCUGAGAUUACAGGCAGGUACCACCACAUCCAGCUCUGCAAUCCAGUGGACAUUUGAUACCUGGAGCACAUCUCGCUUUGGAUGAACCCUUCCCCAGCACCUAAAGAUCUCCUGUGCCUGGAGGCUACCAUGCGUAGCAGUGCUGGCCUAGGUGCUACCUAGAGCCAGGGAGCUGGGCUGAUGUCACGGAGGAACAAGCAGAGAUAGAGAAAAGAGGACCUGAGUAGAGAGCAUCUACACAGAAGAAGAGGAAACGGAGGCCUCAGGAGGGAGGCCUAGUUUGGGGCCAAGUGGGUCCCAAGGCGUCUGUGGGUUCUCCCAGGCUGUAUGCAGGCUGAGUGUCCCUUACCUGAAAUACUGGGGACUAGAAAUGUUUCCUGUGUCCGAGUGGAUUUGGAUUAUUUGCUCGGACAACCAGUUGAGCAUCCCCAAUCUGAAAAUCUGAAUUCCGAAAAGCCAUGAGAAAGUCCUGGAUUUCAGAUGAGGGACCUUAGCCUGUAUCUACCCAGCAGACUGUGCGUCAGGCUGACCUUGACUCUUCCGGGGAAGGGAAAAGGAACUUCUUUAUCCCUGGCUUGCUGGAGGCCUCCACCCAGUGAGGGUCACUUUCUCUCCUCAGAUGGGCCUCUGCUGGAAAAACUGGUGAACGUUAGGGAGCAAGUGAUCAAGGAAUUCAAGAAAGUUUUAAGAUCCUGUGAAUUAAAAGAGUUGCUCAAAGAAGAGGUCUUGGACUGGUUGCAUUGCCAGAAAACCAGUCCCAAAGGUGUCAAAGCCAAGUGCUGCUUCGUGGCCCAGACGUGGCUUUCACAUUCUGAAACCCACCGUCACUUCUGUUAAGUGGGAAGCACCUUCUGGAGCUUAACAGCACCCUCAUAUCACGAUGGCAAGUGCUGGAAAAGACUUCAUUCCUAGCCGUUGCUGUUCCCAGGACGCCCAGAAAGAUGCGCUCCAUUCAUUCAUCCGCUCAGAGAAUGCACACAACGAGCCCACACUGACCCGUCCAGACUGGUGCGGUAGCAGCGCUGGGCCACUGGUGCCGCCCCUGCUCUCCGCCGCUCACCCCUGUCAUUCAGAUCUCAGACCUCUCAGAGCGGCCUCUCCCACCGGUCUGUAAAGACGCAUUGUGACCAACCUGUGUCCACAACCUUCCACCUUGGCCUCACCUGUUUUGUUCUUUGCCAGAAGAGAUCACAGACGUCAGGCAAUUCCACCCAUUCGUAGUGCUGCCUCUGAAAACAAGGGCGUCUUUUACAUAACCACAGUGCCAUUCCCGUAUCCAUCAAAUCUAAGGAUGAUUCUGCAGUUGAAAAGAAUUUAAGUCCCUCUAUCAGCUCCCCUGUCAACAGAUUUUUUUUUUUUCCAGGACUGGGGUUUGAACUCAGGACCUUAUGCUUGCAAGGCAGGUGGCUGCACCACUGAGCUAAAUCCCCAGCCCCACAACAGAAUAUUUUUCACAGCUGCUUUACUCAAAUCAGGAUUCAGUAAAAGGCACAU